UUUGUUACUUCAAACCAAUCGGACUUCGGUCCGACAUCAAGUGAUAUUGAACAAUUUAGCUGAUCGCACGGUCUAAGAACCGGCGACAUAUCCUUCAAAUGUCUGCCUUAUCAACUUUCGAUGGUAGAUUAUGCGCCUACCAUGGUUGUAACGGGUAACGGAGAAUCAGGGUUUGAUUCCGGAGAGGGAGCCUGAGAAACGGCUACCACAUCCAAGGAAGGCGGCAGGCACGCAAAUUACCCACUCCCGGCACGGGGAGGUAGUGACGAAAAAUAACAAGCUGGUCUCAAUGAGUUCCAGCAUUGUAAUGGGAACAAUUUAAAUCUUUUAUCGAGGAUCUAUUGGAGGGCAAGUCUGGUGCCAGCAGCCGCGGUAAUUCCAGCUCCAAUAGCGUAUAUUAAAGUUGUCGCGGUUAAAAAGCUCGUAGUUGGAUCUAGGAUUAGGGCUACGGUCGUUCAGCUUGGACGUACUGUAUGCCCGACUCCUUUUCUCUGGUAUUCGAUGUUGCUCUUAAAUGAGUGACUUUAGUUGCUGGAACUUUUACCUUGAAAAAAUUGAAGUGCUCAAAGCAGGUUA
rnacentral:rRNA from 1 species